rnacentral:tRNA from 1 species
AGCAGAGUGGCCUAGUGGAAUGAGCACAGGCCUGGGAGUCAGAAGGCCUGGAUUCUAAUCCCAGCUCUGCCA